rnacentral:rRNA from 1 species
CUUUCUUUGCUGGCGACCGGCGCACGGGUGAGUAACACGUAUCCAACCUGCCCUUUACUCGGGGAUAGCCUUUCGAAAGAAAGAUUAAUACCCGAUAGCAUAAUGAUUCCGCAUGGUUUCAUUAUUAAAGGAUUCCGGUAAAGGAUGGGGAUGCGUUCCAUUAGGCUGUUGGUGAGGUAACGGCUCACCAAACCUUCGAUGGAUAGGGGUUCUGAGAGGAAGGUCCCCCACAUUGGAACUGAGACACGGUCCAA